GGACGAGAAGCUUGCUUCUCUGAUGUUAGCGGCGGACGGGUGAGUAACACGUGGAUAACCUACCUAUAAGACUGGGAUAACUUCGGGAAACCGGAGCUAAUACCGGAUAAUAUUUUGAACCGCAUGGUUCAAAAGUGAAAGACGGUCUUGCUGUCACUUAUAGAUGGAUCCGCGCUGCAUUAGCUAGUUGGUAAGGUAACGGCUUACCAAGGCAACGAUACGUAGCCGACCUGAGAGGGUGAUCGGCCACACUGGAACUGAGACACGGUCCAGACUCCUACGGGAGGCAGCAGUAGGGAAUCUUCCGCAAUGGGCGAAAGCCUGACGGAGCAACGCCGCGUGAGUGAUGAAGGUCUUCGGAUCGUAAAACUCUGUUAUUAGGGAAGAACAUAUGUGUAAGUAACUGUGCACAUCUUGACGGUACCUAAUCAGAAAGCCACGGCUAACUACGUGCCAGCAGCCGCGGUAAUACGUAGGUGGCAAGCGUUAUCCGGAAUUAUUGGGCGUAAAGCGCGCGUAGGCGGUUUUUUAAGUCUGAUGUGAAAGCCCACGGCUCAACCGUGGAGGGUCAUUGGAAACUGGAAAACUUGAGUGCAGAAGAGGAAAGUGGAAUUCCAUGUGUAGCGGUGAAAUGCGCAGAGAUAUGGAGGAACACCAGUGGCGAAGGCGACUUUCUGGUCUGUAACUGACGCUGAUGUGCGAAAGCGUGGGGAUCAAACAGGAUUAG
rnacentral:rRNA from 1 species